rnacentral:lncRNA from 1 species
GCUGGAUCAGAUUUUACCUAAUCUUCUUUAAUCUGACUUGAUGAAAUCAGUGGGAGGAUUAAGAUUAACUGUUCAAGUCUUUUCUUAUCUUUCAAUUUAACUAAUUAAAUCUUCUAAAAUUGUUAGGUCCCUAAAAAUAAAAUAAUUAUGGUGAUAACUAGAUCAUAACCACUCAAUAAGUUGGAUGAUAAUGAGUCCAAUAGUUUAGAU